rnacentral:rRNA from 1 species
GAUGAACGCUAGCGGCAGGCCUAACACAUGCAAGUCGAGGGGUAGAAGGAGCUUGCUCCUUUGAGACCGGCGCACGGGUGCGUAACGCGUAUGCAACCUGCCUUCCACAGGGGAAUAGCCCAGAGAAAUUUGGAUUAAUGCCCCAUGGCACAGCGAGACGGCAUCGUCUUGCUGUUAAAGUAACAACGGUGGAAGAUGGGCAUGCGUCCCAUUAGCUAGUUGGUAAGGUAACGGCUUACCAGGGCUAUGAUGGGUAGGGGUCCUGAGAGGGAGAUCCCCCACACUGGUACUGAGACACGGACCAG